ensembl:lncRNA
UGGAAAGGCUGCAUCGGUCUUUCACUCUGCACAAUAAAGGACAUUAACAUGCGCCUGCAUGUUAACACAACUUCAGGGUGAAACUUUUCUACGAACGUCCUCCGGACUGCUUGUUGUCCAGAAAAGCUGAAAAGACUCGCGAAGCCCAGCCAGGAGACGCCAAAUUGUCGUGGAAAUUAGUCAACACUCGCAGACUCGUCCUCUGAAGAUUUAUGGAAGUGGAAUGUCGGCCUCACAAGUCUUUAUAGAAUGCAGGAGUAGCAAUGAUAUUUUGAAACGUUUGAAAAGUAAGGAAUAACACAAGGCUAUGCUGUUAUAAGGAAAUAAACCACGCUGGUGUGGUGUGAUAUGAACCGAAGUGUAGUGUUUUCAUAUAACAGCGCAACACGAUUACACAACAGCGAGUGCUAACAUUAAAAAAAAAAAUGUAUCAAUGAAUGAGAAAUCAUACUUUUUAAAUGCUAUAGCUACAUUUAAUGAUGUGGAAUGUCCGUGAGGCAACUCCUGUUGUCACUUGAAGACAAAUAAGGAACUUUGUUGUGUUACUGAGAAACCAGGACGCACAAACUCCUCUCUGCUGAAGACUCUCUUGUAUCUGGAAACUUACUGACUGUUACCCGAGACUCCUUCCAUAAAUAUUAAAUAAACAUCACUUAGUGGUUAACAUGUUUGCCUCGCACAUCCGGGGUUGGGGGUUUGAUUCCUGCCUCCACCGUGUGUACAGAGUUUGCAUUUUGUUUUGAUUGGAAUUUCCUAAUUGUCCACUGUAUGUGAAUGUGCCUUGUGAUGUGUUGGCACCUGAUCCAGGGGGUUCCCCGCCCUGUGCCCAGAGUCCCCUGGGAUAGAUUCCAGGUCAGUUGUUAGUCAGAAUCUGAGGUUGACAUUUGUGAUUCAGUUCCAAGCGGAUGGAAAGAGGCUGAAGGAAGGAGGCGGAUGGAAGGAAGCUGAUGGACAGAGGCUGAUGGAAGGAGGCUGAAGGAAGGAGGCUGAUGGAAGGAGGCUGAAGGAAGGAGGCUGAAGGAAGGAGGCUGAGGGAAGGAGGCUGAAGGAAGGAGGCAGACGGAAGGAGGCGGAUGGAAGGAGGCUGAUUCAGUUCAAUUCAAUUUUAUUUGAUAUUAUUUUAUAGUGAUUUUUACAAUAGACACUGUCUCAACGCAGCUUUACAGAAACAUAUAAACACAGUAUACAGAUUUUGAAUUUGCAAAUUUAUCCCAAUUGAGCAAGCCGGUGGCAAGGAAAAACUCCCUAAGAUGUUAAGAGGAACAAACCUUGAGAGGAACCAGACUCAUCUGGGUAACAACAGAUAGUGUGGAAAAGUUAAUUAUGGUUUUAUAUGAAGUCUGUUUGGCCUUAGAAGCAGCCGUAGUUCCUGCAAUGGAAGGAAGCUGAUGGAAGGAAGCAGAUGGAAGGAAGCUGAUGGAACACUGGGACAUUGUAACUGGCCUGUAACAUCAGCAGACCUCAGUCACCUGUGGGGUCAUUUAAAACAGCAAGUGAACCACAAGUGACAGGAUUGCUGCUGUUAUUUAGGUGAGAGGAAGAGUAACCAUGUAUCCCAGAAGAAAUGAAACACGCAACUCAUUUUUGGUCUGGGGAGCUUAUUGUAAAGACACAGUAUUUCUGAUUAUCAACGCAGUACUCCUAGGUGUUGAUUUCCAAAUAGAGUAAAAUAAAUUUGCUCUAAAAUUAUUUAAGGUCUUCUAGUUCAGUUUAUGGAGGGCAUGGUGGCUUAGAUCGUAGUACGUUUGCCUGGCACCUCCGUGGUUGGGGGUUCGAAUCCUGCGUCUGCCCGGUGUGUGCGGAGUUGGCAUUCUCUCGUUGUACUCCGAGGGUUUCCUCCGGUUUCCUCCUCCAGUCCAAAGACAUGUGUUGUAGGCUGAUUGGAAUUUCCAAAUUGUCCGUAGUGUGUGAAUAGGUGUGUGAUUGUGCCCUGUGAUGGGUUGGCACCCCGUCCAGGGUGUCCCCCGCCUCGUGCCCCGAGUUCCCUGGUAUAGUCUCCAGGCUCCCCUGCGACUUUGUGUGGGAUAUGCAGUACAGAAGAUGGAUGGAUAGUCCAGUUUAUAAUCACAUUAAAAACCAAUCCAACUGAGCACAUUAAAUGACUGAUUCAUGACCGCGAGUUUUCCCCCCAUCAUCACAUUAUUUACACAGAAUAUUUAAGUAUAUUGGAUAGAUGUUUUUUGGGACAAUUUUUAUUUCAUGAUUUAUUUUAUUAAAAAGGAGUUUGUUUAGAGAGACACCACAGAGAUUAUAGUUAUUAGCUGUUCAUGACAGACAAGGAUUUUGACGUUUGAGUAAACAAACAGUAAAGUUAAACAUUUUGGUUGUGGACUACACGACUGUAUUGGAAUCACUCACGUAAACAGAAUUGUUGCGUUUCCUCGUUAAUAAGAGUGUGCUGGAUCCACCAUCAUUUCAUUAUCGAGGAAUGUCUUAAUAAUGUUAAGCUCCAUCUGAGUGAUACCCAAGUUUUGGUAAUGUCCUGCAGGCUGGCCAAGGUGUCCAGUGAUGACCUGCGUCAGCUUCGUCCGUCUACGGAUCGGUCUUCAGAUACUUUCAUCAUCACUCAUGUCCCAAAUCUGGAACGCAAAAUAGAAAGAAAAGAAUGUUGAAAUGGUGUAUGUAAAGAAUGAAACAUGACGGGGUGUGCUGUUAUAGGAAAUAAUAACAGCCUGAUGCAUCUUUAAUAAUUAAAGAACAACUUGUCAUACUUUUUAUCCAUUUAUAGUCACAUUUAAAGCUGUGGAAUGUCCACAAAACAAGUUAGCUAGUGGUAUCAAUUGUG